GCGUGGUAACAAUGAGGAAAAUAUAAUAAGGGAAAUACAAAGAACCAACUGAGUGCCGGAUGACUGGCGACUACAGCCGCCACACCCCCUUCAUUCAUGUCUAUGGGAGGAGGUGUGAAGACUACUAUGUAGCCGUCAUGCUUCCUCCCAUAGAUAUGAAUGGAGGGGGAGUGAACGGGGAAGUUUCAAGCUUCUGUGUUCCGGACACCACCACUGCCGGCUCGGAGAUAAAGAUAGGGCUGGCAGGGGGAUAAGGGAUAAGAUGCCUGAUCACUGGGGGCCCCGCCUUCCCCAGCAGUGGGCCCCCCGCAAUCAGGCAUCUUAUCCCCUAUCCUUUGUUUUCCGACAGAGUACCCCUUUAAGAGUGCAGCUCUGUAUUCAGACAGAAACUGAUUCUAAAGGAGAAAACUUUAUUUUACUUAGCUGCAGAUUUUUUAUGCAGAAUCUCCACCAAAAAUCCACAGCAGAUCUACCACAUGUGAACGCAUUGCCUUAUGCUUCUUCUCAGUUUUUGCAUGCACUUUGUUUUGUUUUUUUCUGAAAAAGAUGGAUCAGAAGCAAUCACUAUGGCUACGUGAAGAGAAGACAUGGAAUUGAGCAACCUUAGGCAGUUACCUAGCUAGUAACCAGAAGUAACAUAGACUCCACUGAAAGAACUGACCUUCUAAAACAUACCCUAUAUUUGUAUGUUAAAAAGUUGUUUAAACAUAAAACAUGUAACUUAGUCAUUUGUUGAUGGGUCAGGUCCAUCAGGGCAUCAUGGACAUCAUAGAGAGUGUUCCUUUCUCUAUGAUGUCUGUAUUUCCUUAGCUUGGGAAAUGGUAAAUCAUUUGGAGCUCAUAUAAAUGGUCAUCAAAAACUAUUGACUAAGACACUGAACAGACCGAGCACUGUGUAUAAGCAGACAGCUGUCAAUCAGCAGCUGGUGGGCGGAGGGAGCAGGUCCUCAUGAACACUGAGGAAACCAAGCAUGCACACGUAAUGGAGAGGACUUGUGUGCAGUGAUCGGUGUCUUCAAUAUUCAAGAGUUUAUCAGGAUAAUGGCUGCGCAGAAUAAUGUAGAUAUUGCAUCAUUCUGUUUAUCAUCUCAGUCACUAGUUAAUACUGCCUUCUAGAGAAUCCCUUUAAGUAUCUACUAACCUUUGUUACUGAUUGUCUCCAUUACUUUACUUCCACGCAAAAAAUGGGAAACAGUUCAGCCGUAUACAAAAGCCAACCAAAUACAAUGUUUUUGCCUCAUUUUUUUUUCUCAAAGAAUUUCAAGUAUUAGUAUGAUUUUCAUGUGCCCAGUCUACUUACUUCUCAGGAUCUACAAAAGUAAAAAUUAAGACAUUUUUAUUAUGAGUCUCAGACUAAAAAUGAAUGCAUGGAAUGAAUUUUCAUAUGCAGAAAUUUUUCAUAUGAAUCAGUUGCUGGCGACCUUUGCACAACUCCAGUUCCCUAAAACCCUAAGUUAUGUAUGGGAUGAAUGUUACUCUAAUGCUACACUGUAAAAAGUCACUAAUGGCCUUGCUAUAGUAAAGAACGGGUAAACCCAUAUAUUUCCUUAUCUAUUUUUUGCACAUGAUUUUUCACCUGCUGUCUUAAGUGCCUAGGCAAUAUUUGACUUUCAUGAGAGGACUUGUUUAAAGAACCUUUAUAUGAGAGUACGCCUUUUGCUUUUUCUGUGCAACCCAUUAUUUGCCUUCUGAAUGACAAUGCAUGAAGAAAUACAGUCAAUAACAAUUACAAUGACAAAAUAGUUAGAUAUUGAUGUAUUUUUAGCCAAAAUGUGCCAAUUUUGGAGUGCGUUACUUCAGCAGCUUUGGUGGCCAUGCAUGGUCACACUUUGGAGCUACUUCACACCACCACACACCCUAUCUCAAGUAUGAGAAAGCUUGUACCUGUUUACUUACAUCUCUUCUAGAAGACAGCAGCAACAUCUUCUGACUGGAUUACCCCCUUAUUUAUUCACUUGUUGCAUCUAAGUUUGAAGUUGGAGUUUUGCUUAUGUUCUAAUCAUCUACAGGGAACCAGGAAGGGGCCAACUUGAAAAAAAGGUCCCACCUCCUACUCCAUGGGCCCCCAUGGCAGCUGCUUGGUCUGCCAUUGUCCUCAUCCCAAUGGGAAGCAUGUCCUUAGCAGAUCUUUCAACCUUUAUGCAUGAAUAUUAGUGGUAGCACACAAAUAAACAAUUGAAAUGUCCCUGUACCAUGUUUAAGGUACACGGCCUACUGAUCCAUAAUGGGGUAAGGUGAGAUCAUUUUAGCCUUUUGAAAUGGGGCCUCCUAUAGAAAUCCGGUUGCCAAGCACACUACUAGAAAUGUACCUGCCAAAUAAUUCUGUCAAUGAUUAUGACAGUCAAACAAAGGAUUCCACUAUGCUGAACCUAGUUUCACCAGCAGAUACUGGACAGAUUGGCCCCAAAUUUAUAUGAUUUUUAUCAGAUUUUUUUAAUAUCAUUUGGACCUCAAGUCAAGUUACUAAACAGCUAUGCUUUAUAAUACCUUGUUACUGGGGAGAAUGGGUUAGUGCUAUUUAUUUUUGCCCCGGAGGCCUUCUGCAAAACCUAAUCCAGUUCUAUAACGGUUCAUCGGAUUACUGUAUAAUGACUUGGGAAAGCCUUACAUCUCCUCCAGUCUGCAAAACUCAAGGAACUGCCAAAAAUGAUGAGUAAAACAUGUAAUGUAACUUGAGAUCAUCAUCGUGUAAAGUGAAUGUAAUGUUUCCUGUACAAUAAAUCCACUAUUUUACAGACCCUGUAUUUCAAAGUCUCCUGUGCAUAAACAAAUCUGCAUGACCUUGGGUAUUGUUCCCACUAAACUCUGUUCUCUGGCAAUGAGGUAAAAUGCCAACCCCUCCAGACAGGCAUUGCUGUCAUUGAGCUUGUUUUUCUCAUUUUAUUGUUGUUUUUACUCUCUGUUCCAGAGGGUACAGGUUAGGGUGAAUACUCGCUCAAGCAGAUCCUGGUUUCCUUAUGCGUUCCACCGAUACAGGAAGUGACAUCGGUGAAACGCACGGCUGGUCAGGUGACCUGGUGUUUGCCGGACGUCACGUGAGCGGAGGAGAACGAACCAUGUGACCUUACUGGAAGCAUGGGGAAACGCCGGGCCCGGGAUGGAGUGCGGAAAAAGACGAGAAACAUACGAGGAUGUAGAUUUGCUGACAAGUGAGGAACCAAUGAUGUCCGGGCCUCAGACUCUGCAGAGGGAGAUGUAGCUGGAAGAAGACACAGCAUCUUAACCAAAUGAAGAAGAAAUGAAAACGGAAGACAACAAAGAAGAUGUCUCCUGAGAGUCAUCAUACCACUGUGUAUUCUGCCUGACAGGGGAAACUGUACCCCAAUAUGUGGCUCUCCAGCUGUUUCAAAACUACAGCUCCCAUCAUGCCUGAAGCUUUGCAGUCAUGAUGAGAGUUGUAACUUUGCAGCAGCUGGAGAGCCACUUGAACCAAGAUGAUUUUAGACUAGGCAGCCCAGUUUAUUUUAAUGCUGUGACCCUAACCCAAAAAAAAAAAAAAAAUGGGCUGCAUAGUCAACACUAGACUCCCUCUGCAGAAGCAGCAACAGCUUCACACUAAAGUACAUGAUGAUAACGUUUUUGCAUCCUGUAAACCCCCCUGACAUGAAUGGCCCUCAAAGGGAUGUAAACCACCACCUGAAAAACCAGGUUAAGGCAUACCUAACCAGACCCCAUGGACUUCUGGGUCACCAGAUUACACUAUUGGUGAGAACUUGCCCAGUUUGCUAUGAGUGUGCUCUCUUGUCCACCCUCCACUGUAGCUUCAGAGAAAGUGUUCAGUGCGGCAGGUGGUGGCGUCACCCACAACAAGAUUGUUAGUGAGAACAGUGAGAUAUUUUAAACAUCCAGUGCCAGAUGCCACGGAUUAGACCAGUGUUUCCCAACCUUUUUCGGCUCGGGGCACCCCUCGCACAAAAAAAAUGUGCAAUGCACAAUAUCUAUUUAUCUGUGGGUAUGUAGAUUACAGUGCUGCUUUAUACAGCAACUCACAAAUGACAU